rnacentral:rRNA from 1 species
UACGUAGGGGGCUAGCGUUGUCCGGAAUUAUUGGGCGUAAAGAGCUCGUAGGCGGUUCGGCAAGUCGGAUGUGAAAUCUCCACGCUUAACGUGGAGGGGCCAUUCGAAACUGCUGUGACUCGAGUCCGGUAGGGGAGUGUGGAAUUCCCGGUGUAGCGGUGAAAUGCGCAGAUAUCAGGAGGAACACCGGUGGCGAAGGCGGGUCUCUGGGCAGUAACUGACGCUGAGGAGCGAAAGCGUGGGGAGCGAACAGG